rnacentral:rRNA from 1 species
UACGAAGGGGGCUAGCGUUGUUCGGAUUUACUGGGCGUAAAGCGCACGUAGGCGGAUCUUUAAGUCAGAGGUGAAAUCCCAAGGCUCAACCUUGGAACUGCCUUUGAUACUGGGGAUCUUGAGUCCGGGAGAGGUGAGUGGAACUGCGAGUGUAGAGGUGAAAUUCGUAGAUAUUCGCAAGAACACCAGUGGCGAAGGCGGCUCACUGGCCCGGUACUGACGCUGAGGUGCGAAAGCGUGGGGAGCAGACAGG